CAUUAAUCUUGCUUCUGGAGCAUCUCCUUUGCGGCCUAUCUCAUCAUUCAGCCCGUAAAGAAGGUUUUUCCUUUCUUGUUUUUCAUCGUCUGGAAAGAAAUUGAACAGAAAAUUAUUGAAGCUUGACACUCUGUCAAUAAAAUUUCUGAACUUACCACCAAAUCGCAUAGGAACGCAGCUGGUUCUCCGUGUCUACACCGCCCAUGUUAUCGACGUAAUCGCCAAUAGCCUUUGGACAAGACUUUGUUCUGAACGAACCAUCGCGCUGCUUCCUUUGCACCUUGACAGCCUCUGAGCCGUGGAAGUUGGAAGCGACCCGAAACGGCUUAGUGUCCUUCCAGAUGAAAACACCCUUUCUUCCCGUUCCUGGUUCACCGCCAAACUUGGCCACAAAUUCGUCCUGCGGAAGGUUCGAUUCGUUGACCGUAAAAAUGGGUUGCCCCACUCUGGUUUUAAGAAUCGUUCCAACCGCAUUGAUCCCCCUUUUGUCGAGUUCGUCCAGGAGGGCGAUGCUCGUGAAGAAGCGAUCAAAGGCUACUACAUGUCCGUUCUUGCCAAGGGCUUGCAAAGAUCAAGAACUACUCCUUCCACCAUCGUAAAAUUGGAAUCCUUGAGCGUUUCACCAAUUCGAGCUCCAUGAUAGAUCUCAAAAUUAUAGGUGUAGCCUCUACUACAGCAUCGACUCCAGAUUUUGAAGCCGCUUUUGAUGGGUUUGCCCUUCAUCGUUUGCCGAAGCAUGGAUCGACCUUUAAAUUUCACCAUGGAUUCGUCUAUACUUUGCCACCUGGGAGGCCGGCGACACUCAUUAAAUUGCUUAUUGAGUACGUCCACCAACGAUCGGAUCUUAUAAAUAGGAUCCUUUCGCACCUUCAACUGUUUAUCCUUGUCUU